rnacentral:rRNA from 1 species
UACGGAGGGUGCAAGCGUUAUCCGGAUUCACUGGGUUUAAAGGGUGCGUAGGUGGGCUAGUAAGUCCGUGGUGAAAUCUCCAAGCUUAACUUGGAAACUGCCGUGGAUACUAUUAGUCUUGAAUAUUGUGGAGGCAAGCGGAAUAUGUCAUGUAGCGGUGAAAUGCUUAGAUAUGACAUAGAACACCGAUAGCGAAGGCAGCUUGCUACACAAUCAUUGACACUGAGGCACGAAAGCGUGGGGAUCAAACAGG